UACGUAGGUGGCAAGCGUUGUCCGGAAUUAUUGGGCGUAAAGCGCGCGCAGGCGGUCCCUUUAAGUCUGAUGUGAAAGCCACUGCGUCACCACGUGGAGGGUCAUUGGAAACUGGGGGACUUAGUCAGAAGAGGAAAGCGGAAUUCCACUGUAGCGGUGAAAUGCGUAGAGAUGUGGAGGAACACCAGUGGCGAAGGCGGCUUUCUGGUCUGUAACUGACGCUGAGGCGCGAAAGCGUGGGGAGCAAACAGG
rnacentral:rRNA from 1 species